ACGGGAGGCAGCAGUAGGGAAUCUUCCACAAUGGGCGCAAGCCUGAUGGAGCAACGCCGCGUGAGUGAAGAAGGUCUUCGGAUCGUAAAACUCUGUUGUUAGAGAAGAACAUGCGAGAGAGUAACUGUUCUUGUAUUGACGGUAUCUAACCAGAAAGCCACGGCUAACUACGUGCCAGCAGCCGCGGUAAUACGUAGGUGGCAAGCGUUGUCCGGAUUUAUUGGGCGUAAAGGGAACGCAGGCGGUCCUUUAAGUCUGAUGUGAAAGCCUUCGGCUUAACCGAAGAAUUGCAUUGGAAACUGGAGGACUUGAGUGCAGAAGAGGAGAGUGGAACUCCAUGUGUAGCGGUGAAAUGCGUAGAUAUAUGGAAGAACACCAGUGGCGAAAGCGGCUCUCUGGUCUGUAACUGACGCUGAGGUUCGAAAGUGUGGGUAGCAAACAGGAUUAGAUACCCUGGUA
rnacentral:rRNA from 1 species